AGCCGGGGAGUUAGCGGUGCCCUGUACCUGCAAUCCGCUAUAGCAGGGGUGAUAUCCGAGCCGAGGGUUGUCCAUUGUAGGGUCUGCCCUGUAUAAGCGGCGUUGAGAUCUGGGUCUUGCGCAACAGAAACCCGUGAACCGUGUCAGGUCAGGAAUGGAGCAGCACUAAGCGGGAGCUUCUGUGUGCCGUAAGGCAGCCUGGGUUGAGCUGGCUGUACAGGUAACGCUUAUGGUGGCAUCUCGAAGCCGGAUGCGCG
rnacentral:SRP_RNA from 1 species